AGGUAUGGACAGCCAUGCAGAAAUAGAAUUGGGCAAAUAGGGUCGGAGCUAAUGAGAAGAGCCUAAGUGGGGACACCCAGCCAGGCCUGUCUGUCUAGAUUCUUAUGGCCUCUCUGAGCAGUCUUCCUUCCUUCCUUCCUUCCAUCCAGGACCCUCUCUGGAGUGAGGGUCUUAAGAUCUACAGUCUAACAAGAUUCCACAAAGACAGAAGAACAUUGACGAGUCUUGGAUGUCUCUGGGCUCUUGAAUUCCCAUCGCAUUGGCAUCAAAGAACUGAAUAAGACACUGUUCCGCCACAAAACGGUGCUGGAUGCUGAACCAUCAUCUUCUCAGGAUAAUAUUUUCAACUGAUUAAUGUAAAAUGUUUGGGGAUUUCACUGGCAACCACAAAAGCAUGUGAAUAUUUUCUCUAAGAGUGCGAUGAAGUCUUUUUUUUUUUUUUUUUUUUUUUUUUUUGUGAGACAGAGUCUCACUCUGUCCCCCAGGCUGGGGUGCAGUGGCACAAUCUCAGCUCACUGCAACUUCUGCCUUCUGGGCUCAAGCAAUUCUCUUGUCUCAGCCUCCCGAGUAGCUAGGACUAAAGGCACCUGCCACCACGCCCAGCUAAUUUUUGUAUUUUUAGUAGAGACAGGGUUUCACCUUGUUGAUCAGGCUGGUCUUAGACUCCUGACCUCAGGUGAUGCACCUGACCUCAGGUGAUGCACCUGCCUUGGCCUCCCAAAGUGUUGGGAUUACAGGCGUAAGCCACCACUCCUGGCCAGUCUUUUUUUUUUUUUUGUAAGGCAACAGAAACAACCAAAAAAUGGAUGACUAGAAGAGAGGUAAACGAUUCUAAUUAUAGGAAAUUUUUGAGACAGUCUUACUCUGUCACCCAGGCUGGAGUACAGUAGCAUGAUCUCGGCUCACUGCAACCUCCGCCUCCUGGGCUCAAGCAAUUCUCCUGCCUCAGCCUCCCUGGUAACUGGGACUAUAGGCACACACUACCACACCCGGAUAAUUUUUGUAUUUUUAGUAGAGAUGGGGUUUCACCAUGUUGGCCAGGCUAGUCUCGAACCCGUGACCUCAUGUGAUCCACCCGCCUCAGCCUACCAAAGUGCUGGGAUUACAGUUGAGAGCCACCACACCCAGCCUUAAUUACAGGAAAUUUUAAUCCCACAUUUCCCUUGUAUAUUUGAUGUGUCUUUUGUUAUAUGUAUUUUAUGGCAUUGCGGGUUACCCUGUUUAAAAUUGUAGUCUCACAAAUCAGAGUGUACAAAAACGAAUGUUGAAGAGGCCAUAAGCUGUGUAUUUAAAAGAAAUAUGGGAGAUGCAAGGAUGUUUGGAUAGGAAGAUAUGACUUGGGAAAUCUCAUGUCCGGCACAGGGAAAAAGGAAUCUGAAGUAAUUAAUUUUCAUUGCUCCUAAAAGGCGAAAUACAACUAAGAAACACAACUUCCUACGUGGUAUGAAGUCACUCUGCUCUUCUGCCUGAGAAAAUUGUCAGAAUAGAAAUGGAGUCACGAAUGUUCACAAAACCCUGACCAAUAGGAUUGGAGAAGUCCUGAAGAGAAGAUUUUUGGGCUUGCAUGCCUGAUUUAAAAAAAAAAAGAGACUACAAAAACCACAGCCUUGCUCAGAGGACAUCGCCAGGGUACACAAAAAAGACAUUUGCAAGGACAUCUCCCCAGUAACCUCCUGUUUAACUUCGGACUGGUGUCACCCUUGUUAUUGAUAUUUCUAACCACAGAUAAUUAUUUCAAAACAAUUAUGUAAUUCUUCUUAUUUUUUUCCUUUAAAAACCUUUGUCUUCCUUUACCUCUCUGAAUACGCACUUACUUUUUACUAUGGCACACGUAUUCCCAUUGCAAUGCUUUAUUCCCAAAUAAAUUUCUUUUAGAGAGCUUGUCUCGGUUUAUUUCAGUUGACACCAAAUUUUCUAUGUGUAAGUGAAAAAAAGGUAGGGGGGAAUCAUAAAGUGUCAAAAUGGAGAGAUGUCUUCCAGAUGGUUCAGUCCAGUCCCUGUGUCUUACUAAAGGAGACUAAGCAUGUUAACACACACACACAAACACACACACACACACACACUCCAACC
rnacentral:lncRNA from 10 species